CUUGCUUUCUUUGCUGGCGACCGGCGCACGGGUGAGUAACACGUAUCCAACCUGCCCUUUACUCGGGGAUAGCCUUUCGAAAGAAAGAUUAAUACCCGAUAGUAUAAUGAUUCCGCAUGGUUUCAUUAUUAAAGGAUCCGGUAAAGGAUGGGGAUGCGUUCCAUUAGGUUGUUGGUGAGGUAACGGCUCACCAAGCCUUCGAUGGAUAGGGGUUCUGAGAGGAAGGUCCCCCACAUUGGAACUGAGACACGGUCCAA
rnacentral:rRNA from 1 species